rnacentral:misc_RNA from 1 species
GAUGAAGAACGCAGCGAAAUGCGAUACUUGGUGUGAAUUGCAGAAUCCCGUGAACCAUCGAGUCUUUGAACGCAAGUUGCGCCCGAAGCCACUAGGCCGAGGGCACGCCUGCCUGGGCGUCACACGCCGUUGCCCCCCCAUCUACUCCUUCGGGAUUGCGGGGGGGCGGAUGAUGGCCUCCCGUGCGCCUAGCCGCGCGGUUGGCAUAAAUACCAAGUCCUCGGCGACGCACGCCACGACAAUCGGUGGUGGCGAAACCUCGGUUGCCCGUCGUGUGCGUUCGUCGCGCAUCGAGGGCUCGAAAAAAUGCUCGGCUCCGGCUGGGCUUUCAACGCGACCCCAGGUCAGGCGGGGUUACCCGCUGAAUUUAAGCAUAUCAAUAAGCGGAGGA